rnacentral:rRNA from 1 species
UACGGGGGGGGCAAGCGUUGUUCGGAAUUACUGGGCGUAAAGGGCUCGUAGGCGGCCAACUAAGUCAGACGUGAAAUCCCUCGGCUUAACCGGGGAACUGCGUCUGAUACUGGAUGGCUAGAGGUUGGGAGAGGGAUGCGGAAUUCCAGGUGUAGCAGUGAAAUGCGUAGAUAUCUGGAGGAACACCGGUGGCGAAGGCGGCAUCCUGGACCAAUUCUGACGCUGAGGAGCGAAAGCCAGGGGAGCAAACGGG